ACAGUGGAUGUAUCGCAAUGGCUCGUAGACAAGCAGUCGUUCAAGCUUUUCCGUUUGACCCAGAAUGUGAUCCGGAUAGAGAAGCACCGGAUGAAGAAGUUGCAACUCAGCGGCUACAGCAGGACGUCUCUGAAUGUGCGGCUGUUUGACAGCAUUCCCAGAGAGGCCACAUGGGAACCGCUGUCACCUCUAAUCUUCGAGACCAUACAAACACCCCGCAGUGCACUGAGCAGUGAGAAAGAGAGAGAGAAUAUGCAACCAUGGUUGAGCUACAGAGGCUGAAUAAGAACUUCAGAACCAAUAAGGAUUCUGUCAACUACAAAGUUCAGUUGGGAUCACUGAAUGAUCAUUUUUGAGCUUGUAAGAAGCCAGACCUUGCUCAUUCAGAUGUCUUAUAGCUGCCAGCAAAAGUCUCGAAAAGAAGGAUGGAGGGUGGGGAAAAAUCUGUGCAUGAGCUCAAAGACUUAUGAACCGACACCAUUCAUAGAAAACGAGAAAUCAACAGCUUCAAGGUAUUUUUUGCUAAUAGGAUGCUGCGAUAGACUCAUCCAUUCUUGUUUUAUCUGAAAUCACAAGAAAACUCAUAUCACAUGGUCUAUAAAUCAUAGCACAAGUGCAGAUGAUUGAAGUUUUUUUUUUUUUUUUUUAUAAUAAUAAUAAUAAUACUUGUUUUCAGCAAUGAUGCAUUAAUCAAAAGUGGGAAUAAGGACAUUUGUAAUGUCAAGUCUUUUAUUUUGAAAAUUACUCAUGGCCAUGUUUCCUGUUUGUCAUGUGCUUCCCUAUUCUCCUCAAGUGAUCCUGUCAUGUGCUUCCCCUGUUUAUGUGUCUUCUUCUGAUUGGUUCUCUUGUCUACGUGUCUUGUUCUCACUGGUUCAUGUUUGAUAGUGCACAGGUGUACCUUGUUUGGUCAUUAGUCUUGUGUGUAUAGCCAGAGAUUGUAUUAUUAUAGGGAGAUAAGAGUCUAUAGGUGUGUUCGACAUUGACUGCGGCUGGAUGUAACCGAUCGGCGAGAGUAGCCGCGUGCAGGCGGGGAGGAGCUGAAAACGGAGACGUGAAGUCGGACACUUUCUGCUUCUCAUAGUGACGCUUGUGUUGCGUUUGCAUACUUUAUCACAGCUGAAGUUAUAUAAAUGCAAUAUUUUACUAACACACCAAUGUUUCAGAGACAUUUUCAUUCAAUGCUUUAUGUCCUGCUUACAGCAUCUGUUUUUACAAGAAUA